GCACUGCUGAGGAGUUCCACAAUAGGACGAAACGAUCGUUCAGUGC
rfam:Schistosoma mansoni strain Puerto Rico chromosome 3, complete genome